CUAGCUAACAGGCUAACAGGCUAACUUGCACUCUACUCUGAUUUUAAUCAUUAUCUAACCAGGUGUGAUUGAUUUCUUUACCUCCAAAGUCCAAACUCCAGCUGAUCUAAAUCUGUCUGUGGUGAGAAUCCUCCUCCACCUGGUGGUGUUCUGUCCGUUCUUCAUCUCCACUCUCCUCAUGGUGUCUUUAUAUCAAUGCAAACCCACAGGAAGCAAUCAGCCUGUUUCCAUGACUAUGUCUCUGUCCAACCGAGGAGGGGAGGACUUGGACGAACAUAAUGAUUAUAUCAUGGAUGAUGUCACCAUUGAGCAUCGUUUCUGAGAUCAAGUGUAAAAUGACCAUUUUCUGUGUGUUAUGUUUUUCUUCUUAUCAACUCUUCAUUCUGUUUUUUUUGUGUGAGACUGUUUGAUGGUUACUGGAACACAGUUAGUGGGGUUUGUUGACUUGUAGAAUAAAUUUAACCACCAAUGAAUUUCUAAACCUGACACAUCAACAGCAUAAAGAAUAUUGUUAGAUUAUGUGUGAUUCUAAACAAGUGAUUAUGUAUUUUCACAUUUCAUCAUCUAAAUUAGAAUAAAUAAAUGUGUUGAUUGUUCUCAAACAAAUCUUGAAAUCCAAACAAGAAGUUUAACAAACCUUCUAUAUUUUGUUGAUUAGCUUGAUCUGUGUGAACAUUUCUCAGCGUCAACAUGUGAUGUGUUGUAUUCAUACUAUUUACAGUCAAAGUAAAAUAAAAAUAUUUGCUAAUUAAUUCUCUUUCUUAUUUAUAUUUUUCCUAACAUGUCCCAACUUCUCCAGGUUUUUAUGACUGAGAAAUUGUAACAUGUGACAACCAACCUAAAUUUAACCUUAUGUAACUUUACGUUCUACUUUACAUUUUGAAUUCUCACUGUGGGAAUAAGUGAACAUGUUUAUGUUGUUUGUCUAUCUACUGUAUCUGUCACUCAGUGCUUCAAAAAUACUCACAGUGUAAAAAAAGUUAAUCAUUAAGUUAUUGGUAUAUUAAAUCGUAUCGUGGAC
rnacentral:lncRNA from 1 species